GACGAACGCUGGCGGCGUGCCUAAUACAUGCAAGUCGAACGCUUCUUUCCUCCCGAGUGCUUGCACUCGAUUGGAACGAGGAGUUGCGGACGGGUGAGUAACACGUGGGUAACCUACCCAUCAGAGGGGGAUAACACUUGGAAACAGGUGCUAAUACCGCAUAACAGUUUAUGCCGCAUGGCAUAAGAGUGAAAGGCGCUUUCGGGUGUCGUUGAUGGAUGGACCCGCGGUGCAUUAGCUAGUUGGUGAGGUAACGGCUCACCAAGGCCACGAUGCAUAGCCGACCCGAGAGGGUGAUCGGCCACACUGGGACUGAGAAACGGCCCAGACUCCUACGGGAGGCAGCAGUAGGGAAUCUUCGGCAAUGGACGAAAGUCUGACCGAGCAACGCCGCGUGAGUGAAGAAGGUGUUCGGAUCGUAAAACUCUGUUGUUAGAGAAGAACAAGGACGUUAGUAACUGAACGUCCCCUGACGGUAUCUAAACAGAAAGCCACGGCUAACUACGUG
rnacentral:rRNA from 1 species